ensembl:misc_RNA Metazoa_SRP Metazoan signal recognition particle RNA
GCUGGGCGUGGUGGUGGGUGCCUGUAAUCCCAGCUACUCGGGAGGCUGAGGCAGAAGAGUCACUUGAACCCGGGAGGCUGAGGUUGCAGUGAGCCAGGAUUGCGCCACUGCACUCCAGCCUGGGCAACAGAGUGAGACUCUGUCUCAA